rnacentral:tRNA from 1 species
GCCGGUAUAGCUCAGUUGGUAGAGCAGCGCAUUCGUAAUGCCGUAGGUUCGACUCCUAUUACCGGCACCA